AAGCGGUGGAGCAUGUGGUUUAAUUCGAAGCAACGCGAAGAACCUUACCAGGUCUUGACAUCCCUUGACAACUCCAGAGAUGGAGCGUUCCCUUCGGGGACAAGGUGACAGGUGGUGCAUGGUUGUCGUCAGCUCGUGUCGUGAGAUGUUGGGUUAAGUCCCGCAACGAGCGCAACCCUUAUUACUAGUUGCCAGCAUUCAGUUGGGCACUCUAGUGAGACUGCCGGUGACAAACCGGAGGAAGGUGGGGAUGACGUCAAAUCAUCAUGCCCCUUAUGACCUGGGCUACACACGUGCUACAAUGGCGUAUACAACGAGUUGCCAACCCGCGAGGGUGAGCUAAUCUCUUAAAGUACGUCUCAGUUCGGAUUGUAGGCUGCAACUCGCCUACAUGAAGUCGGAAUCGCUAGUAAUCGCGGAUCAGCACGCCGCGGUGAAUACGUUCCCGGGUCUUGUACACACCGCCCGUCACACCAUGAGAGUUUGUAACACCCAAAGCCGGUGGGGUAACCU
rnacentral:rRNA from 1 species